AUGCAGUCUAUGGUUCUAUAUCUCUAUCCUCAAUGACUCAACAGGAGUCUGGUACAUAGAAGAUAAUCAAUAAAUCAAUCAAUGCUUGGAAACAGAAUCAAGCGUGCUGAUGCUUCUUAAAUGCCUCAAUCAAGUAGCCAUGACCAGAAAGGCCCAUUCAUCCUUUUACACCUUCAACCGCAGCCUUCUUCAGAGGAGAUUUCUAAGGUAGCAGAUGGACCAUUCAAAGACUUAGAAAAUGAGGCCAAACAGAUGAAUAAAUGGUGAGAAUGGUGAGUCUUACUUUUAAACGGAAUUCGUAAUUUCUUUCUUUUUUAAUUAAAUGUAAUUUUUUUGAGACAGUCUCACUGUGUUGCCCCAGCUGGAGUGCAGUGAUGCAAUCACAGCUCACUGCAGCCUCAACCUUCUGUGUUCAAGCAUUCCUCCUGCCUCAGCCUCCCAAGUAGCUGGAACUACAGACACGUGCCACCAUGCCCGGCUUUUAUUUUCUGGUAGAGACAGGGUCUCACUGUGUUGCCCAGGCUAAUUUCUUUCUUUUAAUUGUUUGAUUCAAGAACAUAAGAGCAUAUCUGAAGUUUACUCAUAAAUUUGGGAAGUCUUUCAUGACAUCUGGCUAACCCCUUAGAGGGGAGCAAGAAGCGG
rnacentral:lncRNA from 1 species